rnacentral:rRNA from 1 species
UGUGGCUGGGGGUGAAAGGCCAAUCAAACCGGGAGAUAGCUGGUUCUCCCCGAAAUCUAUUUAGGUAGAGCCUUGAGCGGACACCUUCGGGGGUAGAGCACUGUUUCGGCUAGGGGUCCAUCCCGGAUUACCAACCCGAUGCAAACUACGAAUACCGAAGAGUGAUACUCAGGAGACACACGGCGGGUGCUAACGUCCGUCGUGGAGAGGGAAACAACCCAGACCGCCAGCUAAGGUCCCAAAGUCUAUAUUAAGUGGGAAACGAAGUGGGAAGGCUUAGACAGCUAGGAUGUUGGCUUAGAAGCAGCCAUCAUUUAAAGAAAGCGUAAUAGCUCACUAGUCGAGUCGGCCUGCGCGGAAGAUGUAACGGGGCUCAAAUAUAGCACCGAAGCUGCGGCAUCAGACGAAAGUCUGUUGGGUAGGGGAGCGUUCUGUAAGCGGAUGAAGGUGGCUCGAGAGGGCUGCUGGACGUAUCAGAAGUGCGAAUGCUGACAUAAGUAACGAUAAAACGGGUGAAAAACCCGUUCGCCGGAAGACCAAGGGUUCCUGUCCAACGUUAAUCGGGGCAGGGUGAGUCGGCCCCUAAGGCGAGGCUGAAAAGCGUAGUCGAUGGGAAACGGGUUAAUAUUCCCGUACUUGGAUAAACUGCGAUGUGGGGACGGAGCAGGUUAGGUUAUCGCACUGUUGGAUAUGUGCGUUUAAGUUUGUAGGUGAGAAGUUUAGGCAAAUCCGGACUUCUUUAACACUGAGAGAUGAUGACGAGGCUCUACGGAGCUGAAGUAACCGAUACCACACUUCCAGGAAAAGCCACUAAGCUUCAGGUUUAUCUAAACCGUACUGAAAACCGACACAGGUGGUCAGGUAGAGAAUACUCAGGCGCUUGAGAGAACUCGGGUGAAGGAACUAGGCAAAAUAGCACCGUAACUUCGGGAGAAGGUGCGCCGGCGUAGAUUGUAGUCCCUUGCGGAUGAAGGUUGAACCGGUCGAAGAUACCAGCUGGCUGCAACUGUUUAUUAAAAACACAGCACUCUGCAAACACGAAAGUGGACGUAUAGGGUGUGAUGCCUGCCCGGUGCUGGAAGGUUAAUUGAUGGUGUAAUCGAAAGAGAAGCUCCUGAUCGAAGCCCCAGUAAACGGCGGCCGUAACUAUAACGGUCCUAAGGUAGCGAAAUUCCUUGUC